rnacentral:lncRNA from 1 species
GGGGAAGACUUCUAUGAACUGUGGCAGAGUAAAGUAAGCAAAACCAGGAAAACAAUAUUCACAGAGACUACAAAAAUGUAAAAAGAAAGAACAAAAGAAGAAACUGUAUUCUGAAUAAUUAUAAUAAACAAGCUUGGCCUGAGAGAAGAGCCUUCGAUUUUUCCCAACAUCAAGGACUUUUGCAAUGAGGCGUGUCUUCUCAUUAUGGAGCCAAAAUAUUGAAGCUUCAGCUUCAGUAUGUGCCACCUGGUUCCUCUUCCAAGUGCUAUGAAUAUGAAGAAAAUAUGGAACCCCUUGUCUUUUCCCUUGAUGUUGGAUGCCAGAAGACCAAGUUUUCUCUUCUCUCAAGCUUUUGACAACUCUGACACUCCUGAAGGCAUGGAGUAAUUGAUUUCCACCAGUGAGGAGAAUCUUAUGAAAAUGAACUUUGAACAGAGGAUUACAAGUUUUCAAAUAAUUAACUGGAAACAAUUGAGGAAUUUUAAAAUUUCCAUUGAAAAUAUUAUAGAUUUUUAGAUAACCAGGAGAACACAAUUUAUUUUGCUUCUGGGAAGAAUGGAAAUAUACCUCAUAUACAUUUUUUAAGUGUUGAACCAAUACUUGAGAGAAAAAGACUUUAAAAAAAUAUUACCACUACUGUUCCAUUCUGAAAUUUUACAUUAGGAAUUUCUUGAAUGUUAUAUAUAUUUUU